rnacentral:rRNA from 1 species
ACGGUAUCAACAGAAGAAGCACCGGCUAACUACGUGCCAGCAGCCGCGGUAAUACGUAGGGUGCGAGCGUUAAUCGGAAUUACUGGGCGUAAAGGGUGCGCAGGCGGUUCUGAAAGUCAGAUGUGAAAUCCCCGGGCUUAACCUGGGAAUUGCGUUUGAAACUACAGAACUAGAGUGUGGCAGAGGGGGGUGGAAUUCCAUGUGUAGCAGUGAAAUGCGUAGAGAUAUGGAAGAACAUCGAUGGCGAAGGCAACCCCCUGGGUUAACACUGACGCUCAGGCACGAAAGCGUGGGGAGCAAACAGGAUUAGAUACCCUGGUAGUCCACGCCCUAAACUAUGUCAACUAGUUGUCGGAUCUUAAUAGAUUUGGUAACGUAGCUAACGCGUGAAGUUGACCGCCUGGGGAGUACGGUCGCAAGAUUAAAACUCAAAGGAAUUGACGGGGACCCGCACAAGCGGUGGAUUAUGUGGAUUAAUUCGAUGCAACGCGAAAAACCUUACCUACCCUUGACAUGUCAAAAAGUCUUCAGAGAUGGAGAUGUGCCUGAAAG